rnacentral:lncRNA from 1 species
AGGUUAGUAGUAGACUGUCAGGGGAGAGUGGUCUGGGGUUAGUAGUAGACUGUCAGGGGAGAGUGGUCUGAUGUUAGUAGUAGACUGUCAGGGGAGAGUGGUCUGGGGUUAGUAGUAGACUGUCAGGGGAGAAUGGUCUGAGGUUAGUAGUAGACUGUCAGGGGAGAGUGGUCUGGGGUUAGCAGUAGACUGUAGGGGAGAGUGGUCUGGGGUUAGUAGUAGACUGUCAGGGGAGAGUGGUCUGGGGUUAGUAGUAGACUGUCAGGGGAGAGUGGUCUGGAGUUAGUAGUAGACUGUCAGGGGAGAGUGGUCUGGGGUUAGUAGUAGACUGUCAUGGGAGAGUGGUCUGGGGUUAGUAGGAGACUGUCAGGGGAGAGUGGUCUGAGGUUAGUAGUAGACUGUCGGGGAGAGUGGUCUGAGCUUAGCAGUAGACUGUCAGGGGAGAGUGGUCUGGAGUUAGUAGUAGACUGUCGGGGAGAGUGGUCUGGGGUUAGUAGUAGACUGUCAGGGGAGAGUGGUCUGAGGUUAGUAGUAGACUGUCAGGGGAG